GGAAGAUGGGAGAAGCAAUAUUGACUCAUAUGGCUCUUCUACCAUCCUGAUCCAAGAAAGAAAUUUGACUGAAAGCUGAUGAACAAAUAUGCGCACUUUUUUCACAAGCCUCUGGAAAGUCACCACCAGAAAGCCCUUCUUCACAGCAUCAAAUGGCACUUCAGGGCGAGACCUGCUGCGGAAACCUGGGUGAUUAGCGCAGAGAGAGCAGGUCUACGUUGAUAAAACUACGAGCAGAUAACCAUGGGUGACCAGCCAUCUGAGGGGCGUCAGACGUGUAGGCAAAGCAGCAGCAAGAAGAACAAGCUGAGCCGAGAAAGCAGAGGGCAGAGCGUGAAUGCAGUCCCCCACUACCACAAAUCAUGC